AACGAACGCUGGCGGCAGGCUUAACACAUGCAAGUCGUGCGAGAAAGGGGAAACCCCGGUAAAGCGGCGCACGGGUGAGUAACACGUAGGUAAUCUACCCCCAGGUGGUGGAUAACGUUCCGAAAGGAGCGCUAAUACAGCAUGAGACCACGAUCCCGCAAGGGGUUGAGGUAAAAGCCGGCCUCUUCACGAAAGCUGGCGCCAGGGGAUGAGCCUGCGGCCCAUCAGCUAGUUGGUAGGGUAACGGCCUACCAAGGCGAAGACGGGUAGCUGGUCUGAGGGGAUGAUCAGCCACACUGGAACUGAGACACGGUCCAGACUCCUACGGGAGGCAGCAGUGGGGAAUCUUGCGCAAUGGGCGAAAGCCUGACGCAGCGACGCCGCGUGAGUGAUGAAGGCCUUCGGGUUGUAAAGCUCUGUGGAGGGGGACGAAUAAGUCGUGGCCAACAUCCACGAUGAUGACGGUACCUCUUUAGCAAGCACCGGCUAACUCUGUGCCAGCCGCCGCAGUAA
rnacentral:rRNA from 1 species